rnacentral:rRNA from 1 species
GAUCAUGGCUCAGGAUGAACGCUAGCUACAGGCUUAACACAUGCAAGUCGAGGGGCAGCAUGAUUGAAGCUUGCUUCAAUCGAUGGCGACCGGCGCACGGGUGAGUAACACGUAUCCAACCUGCCGAUAACUCGGGGAUAGCCUUUCGAAGAAAGAUUAAUACCCGACUAGCAUAGUAUUUCCGUCAUGGUUUCGUACUAUUAAAGUAAACUUACGGUUUAGUUCGAUGGGGAGGUGCGUUCCUACUUAAG